AGUAUUGAUAAGAAAGUCAUUCGUGUAGUACGAGUCUACAUACUCCGCGAUCGUAUCACCGGCUUCACUAUAAAAACAAACAAACUCCGAUAGUAAUCAAUAUAACGAACAUUAGAACAUAUUUACAUUUCAAUGAACCCGACAUUAAUCAUUUCAUGAUCGUACCUUAUUGCAGCGAUUGAAUGAGAACAUGGCAGUUGGUCUAGCUGAAAUACUCGACAUUCACAUUUUUUCUUCUCCAGAUCCACCUUGAAGCUUCUGUCAGCAGUUUGCACCUUAUACUUCAUGCCACUCAACCUUUGUGCAGUGUAUCGACGACUUUUUUGGACUUCAAUAGCU
rnacentral:lncRNA from 1 species